UUUGUCAACAAUUCUAUAUGCGUAGUUUUCAAGCCAUGACUAAUCCAUCUAUGCAGUCCCGUUAAGGACUUAGUGUGUUAUCCUCCAUUCUUUUGUCCCUUUUUUCUUCCUAUGUUCACACACUAAUUAAGUCCUUGCACACUUAGCCAUAUUUAUUACCACAUAGUUUUCUUUUUCUAAUUGUUUGUUUGAUUUUACCAAAACUCAGCAGGUCAAAAGUCAAAUAAUCAAUUUUUGUGCACAAAUACCUAGCUACCACUAAUUUCUUAUAGGAAAUUUCAUUGUAAGCUCAAAUAGGCCGUAACAUUGACUCUAUUGCUUUCAUGACAAUAUAAAUUCCAGUCACUAUGAAGCAGUGCUGUUAUGAUAAUUUUGUUUCAGCUUUCAACAUACACUGGGAGAUGGCUCGGACCCGUCUUUGUUCUAUAUCUGUACCUUUUCUUAUUCUGCUAAUAAUCGUCUUUACUUUCUUUGCACAGAUUACUCCAAUUAAUAGUGCAGAUAUGAAGAUGAGAAAAUUGGGUCUCCUCCCAAGUCCUCCUCCUCAACCCAUUGUUAGUCCCGGCCCAGAAGUUCAUUAAGCUCGUGCUCCUUCUUCUCAUCCUGAUCCACCCCAUAAUCGCCAAAGUAUUUUUCAUGCCUGAUCCUACAAUAUUACAAAGAAUCAUAUGGGCCUAGCCUCAAGCUUCGAUUCUAGGUUUACUGUAUUAGGUUUUAUGUAUAAAUGGCACUACUAUUUUAAUUUUAAUUUUAAUUUUUGUGCCUGUCAAGACAGGUGAUACAAACAAAGAUGGAUUUUAUAGGGUUUAUAAGCUAGACUUUCAAUAUAUAGCGUGUGUUCAACUAUCAUUUACCAAAAACAUGGUUAAGUAUUA